rnacentral:rRNA from 1 species
UACGUAGGGGGCAAGCGUUGUCCGGAAUCAUUGGGCGUAAAGGGCGCGUAGGCGGCUUGGCAAGUGGAAGGUGAAAUCCCUCGGCUUAACCGAGGAACUGCCCUCCAAAUUGCUUCGCUUGAGACCGGGAGAGGUGAGUGGAAUUCCCAGUGUAGCGGUGAAAUGCGUAGAUAUUGGGAGGAACACCAGUGGCGAAGGCGGCUCACUGGACCGGUACUGACGCUGAUGCGCGAAAGCCAGGGGAGCGAACGGG